UACGUAGGGGGCUAGCGUUGUCCGGAAUCAUUGGGCGUAAAGAGCGCGUAGGCGGCCCGGUAAGUCCGCUGUAAAAGUCCAGGGCUCAACCCUGGAAAGCCGGUGGAUACUGUCGGGCUCGAGUCCGGAAGAGGCGAGUGGAAUUCCUGGUGUAGCGGUGAAAUGCGCAGAUAUCAGGAAGAACACCCGUGGCGAAGGCGGCUCUCUGGGACGGUACUGACGCUGAGACGCGAAAGCGUGGGGAGCGAACAGG
rnacentral:rRNA from 1 species